rnacentral:rRNA from 3 species
GUUGAAGGUUGGGUAACACUAACUGGAGGACCGAACCGACUAAUGUUGAAAAAUUAGCGGAUGACCUGUGGCUGGGGGUGAAAGGCCAAUCAAACCGGGAGAUAGCUGGUUCUCCCCGAAAGCUAUUUAGGUAGCGCCUCGUGAAUUCAUCUCCGGGGGUAGAGCACUGUUUCGGCUAGGGGGCCAUCCCGGCUUACCAACCCGAUGCAAACUGCGAAUACCGGAGAAUGUUAUCACGGGAGACACACGGCGGGUGCUAACGUCCGUCGUGAAGAGGGAAACAACCCAGACCGCCAGCUAAGGUCCCAAAGUCAUGGUUAAGUGGGAAACGAUGUGGGAAGGCCCAGACAGCCAGGAUGUUGGCUUAGAAGCAGCCAUCAUUUAAAGAAAGCGUAAUAGCUCACUGGUCGAGUCGGCCUGCGCGGAAGAUGUAACGGGGCUAAACCAU